UAGAAAGUUACUUCGGUACAUCGGUGACAGGUGGUGCAUGGUUGUCGUCAGCUCGUGUCGUGAGAUGUUGGGUUAAGUCCCGCAACGAGCGCAACCCCUAUUGUUAGUUGCCAUCAUUCAGUUGGGCACUCUAGCGAGACUGCGGUAAUAACCGGAGGAAGUGGGAUGACGUCAAAUCAUCAUGCCCCUUAUGACCUGGGCUACACACGUGCUACAAUGGUUGGUACAACGAGUUGCGAGUCGGUGACGGCGAGCUAAUCUCUUAAAGCCAAUCUCAGCUCGGAUUGUAGGCUGCAACUCGCCUACAUGAAGUCGGAAUCGCUAGUAAUCGCGGAUCAGCACGCCGCGGUGAAUACGUUCCCGGGCCUU
rnacentral:rRNA from 1 species